rnacentral:tRNA from 1 species
ACCUGGCUGGCUCAGUCAGUAGAGCAUGUGACUCUUAAUCUUAGGGUUGUAAGUUCGAACUUCAUGUUGAGUG